rnacentral:lncRNA from 1 species
CCCGUCUGCACUAAAAAUACAAAAUUAGCCAGGCAUGGUGCCACAUGCCUGUAAUCCCAGCUACUCGGGAGGCUGAGGCAGGAGAAUUGCUUGAACCCAGGAGGCAGAGGUUGUUGUGAGCCAAGAUCGCGCCAUUGCACUCCAGUCUUGGCAACAAGAGCAAAACGCUGUCUCAAAAAAAAAAAAAAAAAAAAAAAAUUUAAAACAGCAACAACAACAACACACGGUGCUAAUCAAAGAUGUCUGUGGGCUGAAUUCACUUCAAAGGCAGCUCCCAUUUGUGAACUUUAGCUUAGAUUUUACAAUUGUCUUUGUGAAUUAACAUUUGCCCUUGAAAGGUGUGUUUGCAUGUGUGGAUCUAGGUCAGUGUGUUCCAACAGUUACUGGCUGGACAAUUUUAAGGAUAAAGAAGCAUAUUUGUCACUCACAGUGGUGAGGAAACAAACACUUGGAGGGCCCAUGUACCCACCUGGGCUCUUCUGUGGCCUGGAAUACCAAAAGCUAUGACAAGUUUGCGAGAGUUGUCUGAAGCAUUUGGAGGUUUUUUUGACCAAAUAACUCAGACUUGGAGAAUGAACCACUGGGAGAGGCAAGAGAGAGUUCCCAGGAUGAGACCAACUCUACUUAAAAGAGCUCUACUUGCCAGCUCCUGCAUUAUACAUAAAUAGAAAGGAAGAAAGAUGAGCUAAAGAUCCUGGAAAGUAGAAAAUCCAAUUGUUAUUCUGGAUUCUAAACAUUACCUGUGUGGCCUUGGAUAAACUUGAAUCUUUUCAUAUAUAAAACAAAGGAAGUUGAAUUAAAUUAUUUCUAACCCACCCUCCAGUUGAAUAUUCUAUGAUUUCAUCUGACAAACCCUCCCUCUUUUCAUCCUUGUUGUGUGUGAAAUGCUCCAUCACUCAUCACAGAUGCUUAAAAUAAAAUAGCUCUCUCUCUGUAUAGAAUGUCUGCCUUUUUUUCUCCAGAUAGUCAUGGCACCAUGUUGACAUUUUAAAGAUCCAAAUGAAGAGACAAAGAAGGAAAUAAAUAACCCCCUAUAAUCCUAUCACCAAAGGAUUUUGUUAUAAUCUAAUAUUGCCUUU